rnacentral:tRNA from 1 species
GCCGCCGUAGCUCAGCAGGCAGAGCGCCGGCCUUGUAAGCCGGUGGUCGCGGGUUCAAGUCCCGCCGGCGGCUCCA